UACAGAGGUCUCAAGCGUUGUUCGGAUUCAUUGGGCGUAAAGGGUGCGUAGGCGGCGCGAUAAGUCGGGUGUGAAAUCUCGGAGCUUAACUCCGAAACUGCAUUCGAUACUGCCGUGCUUGAGGACUGGAGAGGAGACUGGAAUUUACGGUGUAGCGGUGAAAUGCGUAGAUAUCGUAAGGAAGACCAGUGGCGAAGGCGGGUCUCUGGACAGUUCCUGACGCUGGAGGCGCGAAAGCUAGGGGAGCGAACGGG
rnacentral:rRNA from 1 species